CAAUUUCGGUUUUUUUCAUAAUGUGUAUUUUCACGAUCACGCUCACGCUCAUGUCCAAGUCCCGUUAUGUCA
rnacentral:tRNA from 1 species